rnacentral:piRNA from 1 species
UACUUUUUUGGAAACUCACAGAAGAGCUC